UAGGAACAUUCAUGCAACUGAGACUUU
rnacentral:piRNA from 1 species